rnacentral:tRNA from 1 species
GCUCCGUUCGUCUAGCGGUAAGGACACUGGCCUCUCACGCCGGUAACAGGGGUUCGAUUCCCCUACGGAGUA